UUCAGUUUCGGCUUAAACUUUGGUGGCUUGGGAAUACAUGUUGUUUCAUUCUUGUACAAAUUUCUGGUAUUGUUUUGCUCUUUUUUCUCCUUUGUUUUGGGUUGAGAGGAGGUGUGGAAUGGGGCUAUUCUUUUGAGAUUUGGAAAGUGCUCUUUUAUCAGUGUUGUUAAUCUGACACUUUUUAUCAUACACGAUAAUCUUUUUUUAAUUACUGGAACAGGGAAGCUGAGUCUUUCUAAAUACAAUUUCUCAGAGAUGUCAAUCAAUUCUUUUAGACGUGUGCUUCAAUGAUAGUAUGUAACUUUAUGCCCCAGUAAACUCUCUCUCUCUCACACACACCGCGCAAGUGCAUUAGCUUUCUUAUUCUAUUUUAGUGAUUAUUGGACUGAUUCAGACUCGAUUUUCCUAUUUAUAGGCGCCAUGAGUUCACUUAUACUUCACAAGUUGCCUCUUAAAACAGUGGGAUAGUCUAUGUUGGCCUUAGAAUCAUGGCAAAGUUAUCAUUAUUUGGGAUAAAUUUUAAAUACCUACUACACUAAUAGAGUCUCGUGGCCUAUCUUCUUUACGUACCUUAACCAAUCCAUUCAUCGUGCACCAUGGUAGUAUUUUCCAUUGGAGCACCUCCAUUAUGAAUACCAUUCUGUUUGACUUAAACUUUGUUUAUGCUUAUAUUAUUCCCCUUCUUUUUAUUUUGGGGN
rnacentral:lncRNA from 1 species